rnacentral:rRNA from 1 species
UACGUAGGGCGCGAGCGUUGUCCGGAUUUAUUGGGCGUAAAGAGCUCGUAGGCGGCUCGUUGCGUCGGCUGUGAAAACCCGCAGCUCAACUGUGGGCUUGCAGCUGAUACGGGCGGGCUGGAGUUCGGUAGGGGAGACUGGAAUUCCUGGUGUAGCGGUGGAAUGCGCAGAUAUCAGGAGGAACACCGGUGGCGAAGGCGGGUCUCUGGGCCGAUACUGACGCUGAGGAGCGAAAGCGUGGGGAGCGAACAGG